rnacentral:rRNA from 1 species
GAUGAACGCUAGCGGCAGGCUUAAUACAUGCAAGUCGAGGGGCAGCAGUCCCGCAGCAAUGCGGGAGCUGGCGACCGGCAAACGGGUGCGGAACACGUACAGAACCUUCCUUCGAGCGGGGAAUAGCCCAGAGAAAUUUGGAUUAAUACCCCAUAGCAUUACGAAGUGGCAUCACUUUGUAAUUAAAGAUUUAUCACUCGAAGAUGGCUGUGCGGCUGAUAGGUAGUUGGCGGAGUAACGGCCCACCAAGCCUUCGAUCAGUAACUGGUGUGAGAGCACGACCAGUCACACGGGCACUGAGACACGGGGCCCCGACUCCUACGGGAGGCAGCAAGUAAGGAAUAUUGGUCAAUGGACGAAAGUCUGAACCAGCCAUGCCGCGUGGAGGAUGAAGGUCCUCUGG